UGGCUCAAAUGGUAGAGAGUCUGCCUAGAAUGCAGGAGACCCAGGUUUGAACCCUGG
rnacentral:tRNA from 1 species